GAUUCCCCUAGUAACUGCGAGUGAAGCGGGAAAAGCUCAAAUUUAAAAUCUGGCAGUCUUUGGCUGUCCGAGUUGUAUUCUAGAGAAGCGCUUUCCGUGCCGGACCGUGUACAAGUCUCUUGGAACAGAGCGUCAUAGAGGGUGAGAAUCCCGUCUUUGACACGGACUACCGGUGCUUUGUGAUGCGUUUUCAAAGAGUCGAGUUGUUUGGGAAUGCAGCUCAAAAUGGGUGGUAAAUUCCAUCUAAAGCUAAAUAUUGGCGAGAGACCGAUAGCGAACAAGUACCGUGAGGGAAAGAUGAAAAGCACUUUGGAAAGAGAGUUAAACAGUACGUGAAAUUGCUGAAAGGGAAACGCUUGAAGUCAGUCGCGUCGUUCAGAACUCAGCCUGGCUUUUGCUUGGUGCACUUUCUGAAUGACGGGCCAGCAUCAAUUUUGACUGUUGGAUAAAGGCCAGAGAAAUGUGGCUCCUUUGGGAGUGUUAUAGUCUCCGGUUGCAUACAAUGGUUAGGAUUGAGGAACUCAGCAUGCCUUUAUGGUCGGGGUUCGCCCACGUUCAUGCUUAGGAUGCUGGCGUAAGGCUUUAAACGAU
rnacentral:rRNA from 1 species